CCUACGGGAGGCAGCAGUGGGGAAUAUUGGACAAUGGGGGGAACCCUGAUCCAGCCAUGCCGCGUGUGUGAAGAAGGCCCUCGGGCUGUAAAGCACUUUCAGUGAGGAAGAACGCCUGGUGGUUAAUACCCAUCAGGAAAGACAUCACUCACAGAAGAAGCACCGGCUAACUCCGUGCCAGCAGCCGCGGUAAUACGGAGGGUGCGAGCGUUAAUCGGAAUUACUGGGCGUAAAGCGCGCGUAGGUGGCUUGAUAAGCCGGUUGUGAAAGCCCCGGGCUCAACCUGGGAACGGCAUCCGGAACUGUCAAGCUAGAGUGCAGGAGAGGAAGGUAGAAUUCCCGGUGUAGCGGUGAAAUGCGUAGAGAUCGGGAGGAAUACCAGUGGCGAAGGCGGCCUUCUGGACUGACACUGACACUGAGGUGCGAAAGCGUGGGUAGCAAACAGGAUUAGAUACCCCAGUAGUC
rnacentral:rRNA from 1 species